GGUAUAGCUCAGUUGGUAGAGCACGGGAUUGUGGUUCCUGAGGCCAUGGGUUCGAGCCCCGUUAC
rnacentral:tRNA from 1 species